rnacentral:tRNA from 1 species
AAGAUUUUAAGUUAAUUAAAAACUAUUAAUCUUCAAAAUUAAAAAUAAAUUUUCAAUUUAAAUCUUA